CCCGGACGGGCCCCGGAUUGGCUGAAGUGACGCGUGCCAGCUUUGGCUCCGCAGCCCCGGUUCUCCCAUCGGAAUCUUAUCACAGUACUUACUUACAUCCUGGGUGCUCCUUUGCAGCGGGCCAGACCACCCUCCAUUCCAUCCGGCACAUAUGUUCCAGCAGGAUACUAGAACUAUGACAGGGAAUUUCAAGAAAACACAAGUGGAAAGUAGCUCUUGACCAUCCCGAUGACUGUGGGUUUCCAGACCAUCCUCAAGGAUCCAAGCGUCGCAAGUCACAAUUACCUCAAAACCAAGAGCAAGCACGAGACCAGAGGACACAGGACAACAUCCAGACCACAUCCACACCUGCAAG